rnacentral:tRNA from 1 species
GCGGGCUGUGGCAGAGCGGUCCAAUGCGAUCGCCGUGGGGGAGGGCCCCUCCGCGGCGAGUGACGGAGACGGGGUGGCCUUGCCCCUGUCUGUCUCGCGGGUUCGAAUCCCGUCAGCACCGCA